rnacentral:rRNA from 1 species
UACGAAGGGGGCUAGCGUUGUUCGGAAUUACUGGGCGUAAAGCGCACGUAGGUGGAUUGCUAAGUCAGGUGUGAAAUCCCGAGGCUCAACCUCGGAACUGCCUUUGAUACUGGCAAUCUCGAGUCCGGGAGAGGUGAGUGGAAUUCCUAGUGUAGAGGUGAAAUUCGUAGAUAUUAGGAAGAACACCAGUGGCGAAGGCGGCUCACUGGCCCGGUACUGACACUGAGGUGCGUCAGCGUGGGGAGCAAACAGG